rnacentral:rRNA from 1 species
GUACACUCCUACGGGAGGCAGCAGUGGGGAAUAUUGCACAAUGGGCGCAAGCCUGAUGCAGCCAUGCCGCGUGUAUGAAGAAGGCCUUCGGGUUGUAAAGUACUUUCAGCGGGGAGGAAGGCGAUAAGGUUAAUAACCUUGUUGAUUGACGUUACCCGCAGAAGAAGCACCGGCUAACUCCGUGCCAGCAGCCGCGGUAAUACGGAGGGUGCAAGCGUUAAUCGGAAUUACUGGGCGUAAAGCGCACGCAGGCGGUCUGUCAAGUCGGAUGUGAAAUCCCCGGGCUCAACCUGGGAACUGCAUUCGAAACUGGCAGGCUAGAGUCUUGUAGAGGGGGGUAGAAUUCCAGGUGUAGCGGUGAAAUGCGUAGAGAUCUGGAGGAAUACCGGUGGCGAAGGCGGCCCCCUGGACAAAGACUGACGCUCAGGUGCGAAAGCGUGGGGAGCAAACAGGAUUAGAUACCCUAGUAGUCCC